rnacentral:rRNA from 1 species
GACGAACGCUGGCGGCGUGCUUAACACAUGCAAGUCGAACGGAAAGGCCCUGCUUUUGUGGGGUGCUCUAGUUGCGAACGGGUGAUUAACACUUGAGUAACCUGCCCUUGACUUUGGUAUAACUUCAGGAAACUUGGGCUCAUACCGGAUAGGAGCUCCUGCUGCAUGGUGGGGGUUGGAAAGUUUCGGCGGUUGGGGAUGGACUCGCGGCUUAUCAGCUUGUUGGUGGGGUAGUGGCUUACCAAGGCUUUGACGGGUAGCCGGCCUGAGAGGGUGACCGGCCACAGUGGGACUGAGAUACGGCCCAGACUACUACGGGAGGCAGCAGUGGAGAAGAUUGCACAAUGGGCGGAAGCCUGAUGCAGCAACGCCGCGUGCGGGAUGACGGCAUUCGGGUUGUAUACCGCUUUCGCCUGUGACGAAGCGUGAGUGACGGUAAUGGGUAAAGAAGCACCGGCUAACUACGUG